rnacentral:rRNA from 1 species
GAUAAACGCUGGCGGCGCACAUAAGACAUGCAAGUUGAACGGACUUAAUCGAAAUAUUUCUAUUUUGAAGCGGUUAGUGGCGGACUGGUGAGUAACGCGUAAGGAACCUGCCUAUUAGAGGGGAAUAACAGUGAGAAAUCAUUGCUAAUACCGCAUAUGCCAUAGAUAUCACAUGAUAACAGUGGGAAAGGAGCAAUCCGCUAAUAGAUGGCCUUGCGUCUGAUUAGAUAGUUGGUGGGGUAACGGCCUACCAAGUCGACGAUCAGUAGCCGGACUGAGAGGUUGAACGGCCACAUUGGGACUGAGAUACGGCCCAGACUCCUACGGGAGGCAGCAGUCGGGAAUAUUGCGCAAUGGAGGAAACUCUGACGCAGUGACGCCGCGUAUAGGAAGAAGGUUUUCGGAUUGUAAAAUAUUGUCGUUAGGGAAGAGAAAGGACAGUACCUAAGGAGGAAGCUCCGGCUAACUACGUG